UGAAGUUGGGUGACCAAAGCUAGGUGACUGUUUUUCAGACGAAUAGUGAUAAGAAACCUUGUAUGUGUUGCUGCAUUAUGUUUAAUUCCAGGCGCCAAACAUUUAUAUUGCCAUUUCUAAGUUACUUCACCGUUAUAAAACACAAGAUGUCGCACUAUGUCAUGUAAUAAUUAUCUGUUUUAAAAGUAUAUUAUAAAUAAAUAUUACCACGAUAAUUAUACCGAACAUAUUGUCAUCAUACCAUUAUGAUUUGUAACAAACCAAUAAUAAUAGAAACUAGAAAGUUAGGUUAUAACUUAUUAAUCUCUCCAUAGUCGGGCAUAGUCCAUAAUAUAAUACACGUACUAAGUUCUAACAAAUAUACGUUGCCAUGUUGUUUAAAAGUUUAAAGAUACUGUGGUAUAACCAUUAUUUGGAAAUGUAUGAAUCAUAAUAUCUAGUCACAGUUCUAAUCAUUGAAGGAGUGUUUAUGUUUUGAGUAUUUCAAUCCACAAGCUGUUGCAAAAUAAGUUGAAUGACAAGAUUUCCAUUUAUGAAUGGUCUACAAACAAGUUUCAUGCAGUCUACUGUCUACAUUCACUAUUAUACACAAGAUAGCAAUAUUUAAUUUAUCAUCACUCAGUGUUAUUGGAUCCUUUUUAGCCUUUUAGGCUUAAAUCCUUAUUUUAAUUAUUAAAAUCAUACCUGUCUAAUAUUUUUUGUUUAAAUAUGCAAUAUUUGAAAAAGUGACAAUCGUCAGCACAUGUAUUACAAUAUUUGUACAAUAUGAAGAUUUUUAUUAA